GACGAACGCUGGCGGCGUGCUUAACACAUGCAAGUCGAACGGAAAGGCCCUGCUUUUGUGGGGUGCUCGAGUGGCGAACGGGUGAGUAACACGUGAGUAACCUGCCCUUGACUUUGGGAUAACUUCAGGAAACUGGGGCUAAUACCGGAUAGGAGCUCCUGCUGCAUGGUGGGGGUUGGAAAGUUUCGGCGGUUGGGGAUGGACUCGCGGCUUAUCAGCUUGUUGGUGGGGUAGCGGCUUACCAAGGCUUUGACGGGUAGCCGGCCUGAGAGGGUGACCGGCCACAUUGGGACUGAGGUACGGCCCAGACUCCUACGGGAGGCAGCAGUGGGGAAUAUUGCACAAUGGGCGGAAGCCUGAUGCAGCAACGCCGCGUGCGGGAUGACGGCCUUCGGGUUGUAAACCGCUUUCGCCUGUGACGAAGCGUGAGUGACGGUAAUGGGUAAAGAAGCACCGGCUAACUACGUG
rnacentral:rRNA from 1 species